rnacentral:rRNA from 1 species
GGUUGCGAUCAUACCAGCACUAAUGCACCGGAUCCCAUCAGAACUCCGCUGUUAAGCGUGCUUGGGUGAGAGUAGUACUAGGAUGGGUGACCCCCUGGGAAGUCCUCGUGUUGCAACCCC